rnacentral:rRNA from 1 species
UACGAAGGGGGCUAGCGUUGUUCGGAAUCACUGGGCGUAAAGCGCACGCAGGCGGAUUGAUAAGUCAGGGGUGAAAUCCCGGAGCUCAACUUCGGAAUUGCCUUUGAUACUGUCUAUCUUCGAGUUCGGGAGAGGUUGGCGGAAUUCCUAGUGUAGAGGUGAAAUUCGUAGAUAUUAGGAAGAACACCAGUGGCGAAGGCGGCCAACUGGCC